rnacentral:rRNA from 1 species
AGACUCCUACGGGAGGCAGCAGUGAGGAAUAUUGCGCAAUGGGCGAAAGCCUGACGCAGCAACGCCGCGUGGGGGAUGAAGCUUUAUGGAGUGUAAACCCCUGUAAGUAGGGACGAAAGUUACCUAUUCGAAUAGGAUGGGUAUUUGACGGUACCUGCAGAGUAAGCUCCGGCUAACUCCGUGCCAGCAGCCGCGGUAAUACGGGGGGAGCAAGCGUUGUCCGGAAUUACUGGGCGUAAAGGGCGUGUAGGCGGUAUUGUAAGUCAGAUGUAAAAGGCUACGGCUUAACCGUAGAUGGUCAUUUGAAACUGCAGUACUUGAGUGCGAGAGAGGGUAGUGGAAUUCCCAGUGUAGCGGUGAAAUGCGUAGAUAUUGGGAAGAACACCAGUAGCGAAGGCGGCUACCUGGCUCGUAACUGACGCUAAUGCGCGAAAGCGUGGGGAGCGAACAGGAUUAGAUACCCUGGUAGUCCACGCCGUAAACGAUGUACACUAGGUGUUGGUCCCGACGUGUCGGGAUCGGUGCCGCAGCAAACGCAUUAAGUGUUCCGCCUGGGGAGUACGAUCGCAAGGUUGAACUCAAGGAAUUGACGGGGGCCCGCACAAGCGGU